rnacentral:tRNA from 1 species
GCCACGGUGGUCUAGCGGUUAGAACUCUGGCCUUGUAUUUCUGGGGUCUCGGGUUCGAUUCCCGGCGGUGCCC